AGUUACAGUCUCUGCUCUCCUCCAUAAGUCCGUCGGCUAACUUGCUCCUCCAAAGCUUUCUGUCUUCGGCUGCCAGGGAAAGGUAGUUUAACAAGCAGGAUGAGCCAAAUAUGUCCAGUGGCCCUGAAGUCCUGAAGUUGAGUGGUCCUCAGCUGAAUCCUCGACAUUAUUACUUUUCUAGGACAUUGAGCUUGGCCCAUUUUAAAGCUACCAAGUUCACCGCAGUGUUGUCCUGGUGUUGGUAGAUCCAUGAGCCUUCGUGUGGAUCUGUUUCUGUCGGCACAUUUCUGGUCAAUUACUGCAACUCACUCCAUCAAACCUGUUGAAACCCUUCAUGUCCAUAUACAGUAACAUUUGCUGCGCCCUUGCUGCUCCCUUGCAUCAACAGCUACAGGACAGGAGGAGGCAGCACCUUGGAAACAUCUUGACUAAUAAAGGACACUUUUAUGACAAUGGACCUUUCAAAACCUUGGACUUCUAUCGCCCUAUGGACUGUAGUAGUAAGCCAGGGUAUAUCUGGGUUAUACAACUCACAUAUAUAACCCAAACCGCCUGUUCAACAUCAGUAAUCUUAACCAUCAAGAUGAUCUGUAAGUAUCAUACUGAGCAUGUAUUUUUAUUUAAAAAAAAAAAAAAACUUGUUUAAUGUUCACAAUCUUUUUGGUCAUUAAAGUAUUACAUCCAACUUUUGCCUUGUAUGUAUGUCUUUGGGUUUUUACCAAAACAGGCUAAGAUACUGUUAAUAAAAUACUUUUUUAACAUGAAAGGUAUGUUAAAUAUGCAAGAAAUCUAUAUAAAAUUACAUGUAAAAACCAAAAAUUUACAGUAGAUUGUUGCAAUUUUAAACCCCUACUGAGGUUUUCAACAGUUUUCUGACAUUUUU